UAGGGAGACCAUCUGAGAAUCUACCGAACCUAAAGUAUAGGUAGUAAUCAGUUAUCCCUGGUCGUUCGAGCUAAUAAAGUCAAAGCUUUCAAACUAUUAACUGGUUCGGUAGAUGGGCUAUUAGCUCAGUUGGUUAGAGCGCACCCCUGAUAAGGGUGAGGUCCCUGGUUCAAAUCCAGGAUGGCCCACCUGUAAAAAGAGUAAUGAAAACUAAGAAAUGAGCAAUGAAUCACAAAUUCAGAGUUCAGGAAACAGAAAUCAUGCACUUACUUAGUGGGGGUAUAGCUCAGCUGGUAGAGCGCCUGCCUUGCACGCAGGAAGUCAGCGGUUCGAGUCCGCUUACCUCCACUCUCACUAGGGUAGACCGCCAAAAUAGGCAACUGUCCCAUCCCGGAAACAGAAAUCAGCACCUAGACCAGUGUAAAAACUUGUCAGAAUGCUGGAGUCUUGACUCCAGAAAGAACCUUGAAAACUGCAUAGAAAUUAAGUCAUCAUCAAGCUUUGUAAGUCAUCCGAGCCAUCGGAAAAUCUUACAAAGCAGACGACCAUCAAAAAACAAAAGUGGUCAAGUA
rnacentral:tRNA from 1 species